CUUCUACUCCCUCCAUCCGGAAAUACUUGUCCUACAAAUGAAUGUAUCUAGACUUAUUUUAGUUAUAGAUACAUCUAUUUUAUUCAUUUUUAGGACAAGUAAUUUUGGACGGAGGGAGUACUCC
rnacentral:pre_miRNA from 1 species